CUUGUUAAAUACCAGUGUAGGUCACAUUAGCAAUCAUUUCACUGUGAGCUGUGUCUCUCCUUUUGAGAUGGUUCUUGGAGGUAGUCCUCACGAUCACAGAACUUUAUAGUGUGCAGUCCAAUUCAGUUCAGGUGCUUCCUGCUUGUUAACAUAAUCCCAAUGCAGUUUUAAAACGACAUCUAGGGUUGAUGUUAUGAUAAUG